GGCCGAGUGGCGGAAUUGGUAUACGCGUUCGACUUAAAAUCGAAUGGGGAAACCCGUACGGGUUCAAGUCCCGUCUCGGCUACCA
rnacentral:tRNA from 1 species